rnacentral:tRNA from 1 species
CGCGGGAUGGAGCAGUCUGGUAGCUCGUUGGGCUCAUAACCCAAAGGUCGUAGGUUCAAAUCCUGCUCCCGCAACCA